rnacentral:rRNA from 1 species
GACGAACGCUGGCGGCGUGCUUAACACAUGCAAGUCGAACGGUAAGGCUCCAGCUUGCUGGGGUACACGAGUGGCGAACGGGUGAGUAACACGUGGGUGACCUGCCCUGCACUUCGGGAUAAGCCUGGGAAACUGGGUCUAAUACCGGAUAGGACCGCACCGUGAGGGUGUGGUGGAAAGUUUUUUCGGUGUGGGAUGGGCCCGCGGCCUAUCAACUUGUUGGUGGGGUAAUGGCCUACCAAGGCGGCGACGGGUAGCCGGCCUGAGAGGGUGGACGGCCACAUUGGGACUGAGACGCGGCCCAGACUCCUACGGGAGGCAGCAGUGGGGAAUAUUGCACAAUGGGCGGAAGCCUGAUGCAGCGACGCCGCGUGGGGGAUGACGGCCUUCGGGUUGUAAACUCCUUUCACCAUCGACGAAGGGUUUCUGACGGUAGAUGGAGAAGAAGCACCGGCUAACUACGUGCCAGCAGCCGCGGUAAUACGUAGGGUGCGAGCGUUGUCCGGAAUUACUGGGCGUAAAGAGCUCGUAGGUGGUUUGUCGCGUCGUCUGUGAAAUUCCGGGGCUUAACUCCGGGCGUGCAGGCGAUACGGGCAUAACUUGAGUACUGUAGGGGAGACUGGAAUUCCUGGUGUAGCGGUGAAAUGCGCAGAUAUCAGGAGGAACACCGGUGGCGAAGGCGGGUCUCUGGGCAGUAACUGACGCUGAGGAGCGAAAGCAUGGGGAGCGAACAGGAUUAGAUACCCUGGUAGUCCAUGCCGUAAACGGUGGGCGCUAGGUGUGGGUUUCCUUCCACGGGAUCCGUGCCGUAGCUAACGCAUUAAGCGCCCCGCCUGGGGAGUACGGCCGCAAGGCUAAAACUCAAAGGAAUUGACGGGGGCCCGCACAAGCGGCGGAGCAUGUGGAUUAAUUCGAUGCAACGCGAAGAACCUUACCUGGGCUUGACAUAUACAGGAUCGCGCCAGAGAUGGUGUUUCCCUUGUGGCUUGUAUACAGGUGGUGCAUGGUUGUCGUCAGCUCGUGUCGUGAGAUGUUGGGUUAAGUCCCGCAACGAGCGCAACCCUUGUCUUAUGUUGCCAGCACGUUGUGGUGGGGACUCGUAAGAAACUGCCGGGGUUAACUCGGAGGAAGGUGGGGAUGACGUCAAAUCAUCAUGCCCCUUAUGUCCAGGGCUUCACACAUGCUACAAUGGUCGGUACAGUGGGUUGCCAGUCCGUGAGGGCGAGCUAAUCCCGCAAAGCCGGUCUCAGUUCGGAUCGGGGUCUGCAACUCGACCCCGUGAAGUCGGAGUCGCUAGUAAUCGCAGAUCAGCAACGCUGCGGUGAAUACGUUCCCGGGCCA